CGCCUUGCCAGCCCGCUCAGAAACUCAAAGGAAUUGACGGGGGCCCGCACAAGCGGUGGAGCAUGUGGUUUAAUUCGAUGAUACGCGAGGAACCUUACCUGGGCUCAAAUGUAUGUUGACGUAUUCUGAAAGGGAUACUUCUUCGGACAAUAUACAAGGUGCUGCAUGGUUGUCGUCAGCUCGUGCCGUGAGGUGUCGGGUUAAGUCCCAUAACGAGCGCAACCCCUACCUUUAGUUGCCAUCAGGUUAAGCUGGGGACUCUAAAGGAACUGCCUACGCAAGUAGUGAGGAAGGUGGGGACGACGUCAAGUCAUCAUGGCCCUUAUGUCCAGGGCGACACACGUGCUACAAUGGCCGGCACAACGGGAAGCGAGUUCGCGAGGACGAGCGGAUCCCUUAAAGCCGGUCGCAGUUCGGAUUGAAGUCUGCAACUCGACUUCAUGAAGCUGGAAUCGCUAGUAAUCGCAGAUCAGCCAAGCUGCGGUGAAUACGUUCCCGGGCCUU
rnacentral:rRNA from 1 species